AACUAAUAAGCUUUUAGAAGCAAGUAUUUUGAAAGUACAAGAAAAGGAUUAAUAACCUUAUUAGUUUUAC
rnacentral:tRNA from 1 species